rnacentral:rRNA from 1 species
UACGGAGGGGGCUAGCGUUGUUCGGAAUUACUGGGCGUAAAGCGCGCGUAGACGGCUAUUCAAGUCAGAGGUGAAAGCCUGGAGCUCAACUCCAGAACUGCCUUUGAAACUGGAUAGCUAGAAUCAUGGAGAGGUCAGUGGAAUUCCGAGUGUAGAGGUGAAAUUCGUAGAUAUUCGGAAGAACACCAGUGGCGAAGGCGGCUCACUGGACUGGUAUUGACGCUGAGGUGCGAAAGCGUGGGGAGCAAACAGG